rnacentral:ncRNA from 1 species
UAGGCUGGCGCCGCAGCUGGUUCGCCCCGUCCGCCAGGCGGGAGGCGUCGCAAGAGGGAACCCGGUGCGAAUCCGGGACUGCCCCGCAGCGGUGAGCGGGAACGACCGCCGUCAUACGCACUGGACCGCCGGUCCGGGAAGCGACGGCCAUUAGGUGUCCGCCGGUACGAGUCCGGCGGGUGUGCCCGCGAGUCCGAAGACCUGCCCGCUGCCCGUACGCGUC